AGGCUGGCCGCAGAUGACGGUGGCCCGCAAGGGCUGAAACGGGAAUGCGGAAUGCGCGCCGUGCGGUGCGCCAGGCCGCGGCUGCCCCCGCAACUGUAGGCGGCGAGUCCGGCCUCCAAUGCCAUUGCCCCCGACCGGGGCGAGAAGGCGGGGCUGGGCGCCGGGGCACCGCCCCGACAGCCGUGAGCCAGGAGACCGGCCGGCAUCGAGACUGCGCG
rnacentral:ncRNA from 2 species